AAAUUGAAUUUGAUUGCUGGAGUAGGGACAUAUAUUAAAGUUCUAUAGGCUCCUUGUAAUUAGUAUAUAACAUUUGUUAUAACCUUUCUUAAGGGAACCUUUGUCUGUAUCUUACAUUGACACCACCACCUGCAAACCACCUUCCCAAGCAACAAAAGAAAAACUGAAAAAAGUAAAUAAGUUAACUAAUUAAAGGGGAGGAAAGGGGGGAGUCUAUCUUUGCAUAAGCUGUGAAUAUAUUAUUGAUUUGGAUGAUUGAGCUUUGUUGAGCUGAGCAGCAAGCAAAAGGAGAUUGUCGUCCUCUCGCUUUACCUUUUUCAAAACCUUUUUUUCUCAAAUUGAACUCAUGAUUUUGUGGUCACAGAGGAGCAAUGUUAUGCUUGCACCAAGACUAGACCUCAAUUGAACUGCCAGCUAUCAUUUACAAAUUGAAUAAGGUCAGACAAAGUCAAUCUAUUAGUAUUAGGACACAGUCAAACAUAGCUAGGUGGAGCAAAAUCUUAAGUUAAAGCCAUUAAAAUAGUAGUUUUGAUUGCUUGAUAUAAUUUUACCUUGCAGGGGCAUGUGUGUUGCCCUUUUGUUUAUUUUACUAGUUGACAAGGGGGGAAAAUAGAAAGUGAUUUUCUGUUAAUGUUUUAGCAUGCUUUGUUGAUGUGCUACCUCUCAUGUGGAUUCAUCAGGUUUGGAGGGAGAAAAAUGUU
rnacentral:misc_RNA from 1 species